CCGGCACAAGCGGUGGAGUAUGUGGUUUAAUUCGAUGCAACGGCGAAGAACCUUACCUGGUCUUGACAUCCCGGAGACCCUUAGGAAACUAGGGGGUGCUUCCAUCUGGAAGAAUCUGGAGACAGGUGCUGCAUGGCUGUCGUCAGCUCGUGUCGUGAGAUGUUGGGUUAAGUCCCGCAACGAGCGCAACCCUUGCCUUUAGUUGCCAGCAGUUCGGCUGGGCACUCUAAAGGGACUGCCGGUGUUAAACCGGAGGAAGGUGGGGAUGACGUCAAGUCCUCAUGGCCUUUAUGACCAGGGCUACACACGUACUACAAUGGCCGAUACAAAGGGCAGCGACACUGCGAGGUGAAGCCAAUCCCGUAAAAUCGGUCUCAGUCCGGAUUGGAGUCUGCAACUCGACUCCAUGAAGUUGGAAUCGCUAGUAAUCGUGGAUCAGCAUGCCACGGUGAAUACGUUCCCGGGCCUU
rnacentral:rRNA from 1 species